AUUGAACGCUGGCGGCAGGCCUAACACAUGCAAGUCGAGCGGAGCGGCGGACGGGGGAGUAAUGCCUAGGAAUCUGCCUGGUUGUGCGGGAUCACGUCCGGAAACGGGCGCUAAUACCGCAUACUCUCAGCUGAGCCUAGUGCGGAUUAGCUAGUUGGUGGGGUAAAGGCCUACCAAGGCGACGAUCCGUAACUGGUCUGAGCGGAUGAUCAGUCACACUGGAACUGAGACACGUUCCAGACUCCUACGGGAGGCAGCAGUGGGGAAUAUUGGACAAUGGGCGAAAGCCUGAUCCAGCCAUGCCGCGUGUGUGAAGAAGGUCUUCGGAUUGUAAAGCACGUUAAGUUGGGAGGCGUUACCAACAGAAUAAGCACCGGCUAACUUCGUGCCAGCAGCCGCGGUAAUUC
rnacentral:rRNA from 1 species